CAGCAGCCGCGGGAAUACGGAGGGGGCUAGCGUUGUUCGGAAUUACUGGGCGUAAAGCGCACGUAGGCGGCUUGGUAAGUUAGAGGUGAAAGCCCGGAGCUCAACUCCGGAAUUGCCUUUAAGACUGCCGAGCUAGUAGGUGAGAGAGGUAAGUGGAAUUCCGAGUGUAGAGGUGAAAUUCGUAGAUAUUGGGAAGAACACCGGUGGCGAAGGCGGCAACCUGGUCCUUGACUGACGCUGAGGCGCGAAAGCGUGGGGAGCAAACAGGAUUAGAUACCCGGGUAGUCCUUGUCUCUUAUAC
rnacentral:rRNA from 1 species